AAGUGGACUCAGAUCGGGGAGGUAGCGGUUCCCUGUUGCCGGCAAGCCCGCUUACGCCGGGAUUGAAGCCUUGGGGGCGGCCUGUCAUUUAUUGCAGUGCCGAUGCGCAACUGUGACCUUCUGUCCCUUAAGGUUGUUUGCCUAAAGCCAACCCCGCAAGGCCCGGAAGGGAGCAGCGGUAACUUUUGCACUCAAUGCUUAAGGACAAACGGAAGCGAGGAACGCAAUCGGAUAAACACUGCAGUGAGUGGUCUGGCCCACUUCAGGGCGCGUCCACAC
rnacentral:SRP_RNA from 1 species